GACGAACGCUGGCGGCGUGCUUAACACAUGCAAGUCGAACGGUGAAGGGACCGGUUUUUGCUGGUUCUGGAUGAGUGGCGAACGGGUGAGUAACACGUGAGUAACCUGCCCCCUUCUUCUGGAUAACCGCAUGAAAGUGUAGCUAAUACGGGAUAUUCUGCGCCUGCUGCAUGGUGGGUGUGGGAAAGAUAUUGUUUCGGUGGGGGAUGGGCUCGCGGCCUAUCAGCUUGUUGGUGGGGUGAUGGCCUACCAAGGCGGUGACGGGUAGCCGGCCUGAGAGGGUGGACGGUCACACUGGGACUGAGACACGGCCCAGACUCCUACGGGAGGCAGCAGUGGGGAAUAUUGCACAAUGGGCGCAAGCCUGAUGCAGCGACGCCGCGUGAGGGAUGGAGGCCUUCGGGUUGUAAACCUCUUUCGCCAGUGAAGCAGGCCUGUCCCUUUUGUGGGUGGGUUGACGGUAGCUGGAUAAGAAGCGCCGGCUAACUACGUG
rnacentral:rRNA from 1 species